AUGUUAGAGGUGGAGGAGACACUGAAGUGACUUCAGAGCCAGAAGGGAGUACAGGGCAUCAUCGUGGUGAACACAGAAGGCAUUCCCAACAAGAGCACCAUGGACAAUCCCACCACCACACAGUAUGCCAACCUCAUGCACAACUUCAUCUUGAAGGCCCGGAGCACGGUGCGUGAAAUCAACCCCCAGAAUGACCUCACCUUCCUGCGAAUUCGCUCCAAGAAAAAUGAAAUUAUGGUUGCACCAGAUAAAGACUAUUUCCUGAUUGUGAUUCAGAAUCCAACUGAAUAAGCCAGUCUCUUGGCUCCCUGCAUCAUUCCUUAAUUUAAUAGCUCCCAAGAAUAAUAAUGUUUAAUCAUGUCAACCAACUGGCAGGUGGAAAUCACCUUAGAGCCUACUUAGACCAACCCAGUGACCAAAGUCAUCAAAGUCAUCCCUCUGCUGGCCAAUCACCCUUGAAUCCUUGGGAGGGCAUUCUUUCCUCACCUCCAGAUUUUGGAGCAAGAGCUUUGAGCAGCCCACACCCUACUUCCUCCUAACCUUCAGUUCAUUUUGUCACCCUUGGAAAAGGCUGUUUUUCUUUAACUAAAAAUAACUGAAAUGCUAAAAAA